rnacentral:rRNA from 1 species
CCUACGGGUGGCAGCAGUGAGGAAUAUUGGUCAAUGGGCGAGACCCUGAACCAGCCAAGUCGCGUGAAGGAUGAAGGCACUACGGUUUGUAAAAUUCUUUUGUAAGGGAGCAAUUGGGUCCACGCGUGGGCUUAGCGAGCGUACCUGAAGAAAAAGACUCGGCUAACUCGGUGCCAGCGGCCGCGGUAUUACGGGGGUUGCGGGCGUUAUCCGGAUUUAUUGGGUUAUAUGGCUGCGUAGGCGGAAUAUCAGGUCAGCGGUAAAAACUCGGGGCGCACCCCCGGCGUGCCGUUGAAACUGAUGUUCUUGAGUGGGCGAGAGGUAUGCGGAAUUCGUGGUGUAGCGGUGAAAUGCAUAGAUAUCACGCAGAACUCCGAUGGCGAAGGCAGCAUACCGGCGCCCAACUGACGCUGAAGCUCGAAAGCGUGGGUAUCGAACAGGAUUAGAUACCCCAGUAGUC